rnacentral:tRNA from 1 species
AGAUGAUUAGUCCACUGAAAGACCGCCGAUUUCGGCUUGGCAGAACAUGGUUCAAAUCCAUGAUCAUCUU